CCCUUAGAUGUCCUGGGCCGCACGCGCGCUACACUGACAUGUUCAACAAGCCUCCUAGUUCGACAGGAUUUGGGAAAUCUUUGAACGCAUGUCGUGAUAGGGAUAGAUCAUUGCAAUUAUUGAUCUUGAACGAGGAAUUCCUAGUAAACGCGAGUCAUCAGCUCGCAUUGAUUACGUCCCUGCCCUUUGUACACACCGCCCGUCGCACCUACCGAUUGAAUGUUUCGGUGAAGAUUCCGGAUAGGACUUUUUUGAUUUAUUUCAAUUUUGUCUUAAAAGCUAUCUAAACCUCAACAUCUAGAGGAAGGUGAAGUCGUAACA
rnacentral:rRNA from 1 species